UUGUUGGCCACCCUGUGAAGGUGCAGGAGGUUUUUGGCCAUGCCAUGAAGGUGCAGGAGGUUGUUGGCCAUGCCGUGAAAUGCCAGAUCUGAUGGGCCGGGUGGGGCUAAAGAGCGGCAGGUGAAAAACAAGGCGGAGAAGAGAAGACAAUGGCAGGUGCCCAGAAGCCGUGGGAUGAUGUGGAGUGAGUCACAAGUUACCAGGAAGGAUGGCAGAAGUGUUUCAAGCAGGUUAUCGAGGCCUUGCAUGGGGUGACAGCUUGCAAGAGCCGAGGACUGGCGUGAUCCGCCCUCCAUUCUUCACCUCGAUAAGAGAUCGGUGCAGGACAGAAGGAAAAGGUUGAACCUUUGAGUAGGACUCAUCCCUUAGCUGAACCCGCAGCGCAGUAGCUCACGUUGGGGUGUUUUCAGCGCUGUAAGCAAUCAGCUCGCCAGGCCAGGUUUGUCCUCACUUUGAGUUUCAGAGGAAAGAAUCAGCGUCAUCGAUUAUUGUGUGUGUG